rnacentral:pre_miRNA from 1 species
UACCCUGUAGAACCGAGCUUGUGUCGUGUUUAGAUAUCACAAGCCUAGUCUACAGUGUUCA